UUCUAGCAGCCUUGACACUUAAAGUGAUAAAAAAAAAAUAAUUAGGAUAGUUGGGGUUUCAGACAUUCUGGGAAAGCUCAUAAGAAAUGCCUGGUGGGGAGCCUCGAGCAACCUAAGAUACAAGAAAGGUUGAGGAGCUUCAAGCCUGUUAGAAUUUAAAGCGGCAGGUUUCAGAAUUCCAAACGCUCCUUUAAAAAGCUGUGGUGUCUCUUUAAGAGCCAUUUGGUGCAUUUCAUAGCCUGAUUCAUGUCACCAGCUGCCUCUGAUUUCAGUGAGAAAUGCAGAAUUUAUAGGGAACUGUAAAAUGGGGACAGGUUUUUAGUUUUCUAAAUUGAGGUUUAACUGGCAAACUUCUGAACGCUCAAGAAACCACGAGCCGGGCUGUGGAGAACUGGUUUCUUUUCCUUUUAGAAGAAAUAAACACACAAACACAUUAUCUAACUCUCAAAGUGUUGCGAGAAAGAAAUCCUUGCUCUUUGCCGAGUAGGAAAAUGAAGAAUCAGCCUUGUGGGCAAGAGGAGGAGGAUCACAUUGGCCAGUAGGCAGCACCCUGUGCUGGCAGAGGGAGAAAUCUGAGCCUCAGCAGAGCCAGGAACAGUCUUUGUACAAACUCUCUGGUUUCAAGUUGCGAGUCUCCGGAGUCUCUGGGAAGGUGCCCCAGGGACGGGCUCCCUUUGCAGAGCCCUGAGGAUUGAUGAGAAUCCCCCAUCCCCAGCCACCCAGAGGGCAAGCAGGUCUGGUGUUUUCAGAUAGAGUUUGUUCAGAGCUCCUGAUUGUGCCUAGCCAAUGAGGGAGGACCACACAAUGUCACCAAAUUGCUAUCCAGAGCUCCUGAUUAUGUCCAGCCAAUGAGGAAUGACCACACAAUGUCACCAGAUCAGGACACAGCUGGGUACUGGGAGGAGGGUGUAUAAGGCUUUCCCCAUUACUGAAUAAAGGAGUCUGCUGUUUGCCUUUCA